GCAAGUCGAGGGGUAACAGAGGAGCUUGCUUCUGCUGACGACCGGCGCACGGGUGCGUAACGCGUAUACAAUCUACCUUAUACUGGAGAAUAGCCCUAAGAAAUUGGGAUUAAUGCUCCAUGGUAUUAUAUUUUCGCAUGAUUAUAUAAUUAAAGCUCCGGCGGUAUAAGAUGAGUAUGCGUGAUAUUAGUUAGUUGGUGAGGUAACGGCUCACCAAGACUUCGAUAUCUAGGGGGUCUGAGAGGAAGGUC
rnacentral:rRNA from 1 species